AGUAAGAGAGCGAGUAAUGGGCGCUCAGAAGGCAGAGUCAUUCCAUCAACAUCUGAUGGCAGUACCUUCUGUUGUAGACCCUUGAUGGGCCGAGGCCACCAGCUAGCACAAAAGAUGGACAACAAACUCAAGAGGAGGUACAGAAGAGGAAUCUUAGGAUGAACUUGUGGAGCGUGAGCGCGCAACCACUUUUCAUCCUAGGAUAAGUCCUAUGUUGGUAAUACCUCUAGACCAGAUGGACCGAUGAGGAUAAGAUAGUUGUGCUUCCAGAACGACCAGGUGAAUCAGCAGCCGAUGGUUGUGGAGAAGAUGAUGGAGCCUUGUGGUGAGAGAAGAGGCUUGUCCAAGGAGAAAUUAUUGGAAAACGGGAAAAAGAAGAUUGAGAAUCUGCUCGACUCGAUUUUUUCUUGAUAUGUCAAAGUCUUACAUGCUUGGUACAUCUUUGGGAUGGUGUCUAAGGUAGUGUAACCAGACCAGUAUGCCCCUGAUGUGGCUUCAAGGCAGCCUUGUUUGCCAGAUCCCGGCGUCAUGCUUUUUUUGAUGGGAGUAUGUACUGAACAAGAUUAGUAGUGCCAGGGGCAUCCAUUGGUCAGGUGCAGCAGAAGGAUUCUUGUCUGUCAUGGGCAUCCAACGAUGAGAAGGUGAAAUGGAAGGUUAGGAAACUAAAGCCCAAGAAACUCAUUGGACAACAACGAACCUCAGGACAAGGUAGUGUGUUUCCAGUAACGCUACCACGCUACAUGUCCUUAUGCUCAGGCCUUCGUACAACACGGACGGGCAACCGAGGGGACGGCCCUAGUUUAAUGAUGUCUGGCUUCAUUGACGUGCUUCUACCAUUAGAAGCAAUAAAUCCUUGUUCUCCUAGGUUUGGUACGUCACAGAAAAGGAUGAAGAGAAAAAAGCAGAGCAGAUCGUUCCAAGUUGUACAAUCCUGCCAGUUCCAAGUCAGAUGGCGAACUUGAUGUGUAUGUUUCAAGGAUGAAGUACAGGCAGAAGUGUAUCUCUUACCUUACAGGAAGCAAGGAACAGCUUGAAAAUCUCCAUACCCCUUGAGCAAGAGAAAA